rnacentral:rRNA from 1 species
GACGAACGCUGGCGGCGUGCUUAAUACAUGCAAGUCGAACGGACAGGCCCUGCUCUUGUGGCGUGCUCGAGUGGCGAACGGGUGAGUAACACGCGUGUAUCCUGCCCUUGUAUUUCGGAUAACACUUGGAAACUGGGGCUCAUAUAGGAUAGGAGAUCCUGCAGCAUGGUGGGGGUUGGAAAGUUUCGGCGGUGGGGGCUGGUCUCGCAGCAUAUCCGCUUGAUGGUGAGGUAGUGGCGUACCAGGGCUUUGACGGGUAGCCGGCAUGGGCGGGGGGACGGCCACAGUGGGACUACGAGACGGACCAGACUGCUACGGGAGGCAGCAGUGGGGAAUAUUGCAGAGUGGGCGGAAGCCUGAUGCGGCAACGCCGGGUGCGGGAUGACGGCCUUCGGGGUGUAAACCGCUUUCUCCGGUAACGAAGCGUGAGUGACGGUAAUGGGUAAAGAAGCACCGGCUAACUACGUG